rnacentral:rRNA from 1 species
GAUGAACGCUAGCGACAGGCCUAACACAUGCAAGUCGAGGGGCAGCACAAGGAGCAAUCUGAGGUGGCGACCGGCGCACGGGUGAGUAACACGUAUGCAACCUACCUGUAAGAGGGGAAUAACCCGUUGAAAAACGGACUAAUACCGCAUAACACUGUAGAACCGCAUGGUUUGACAGUUAAACAUUUAUGGCUUACAGAUGGGCAUGCGCAUGAUUAGCUAGUUGGUGAGGUAACGGCUCACCAAGGCAACGAUCAUUAGGGGUUCUGAGAGGAAGGUCCCCCACACUGGUACUGAGACACGGACCAGACUCCUACGGGAGGCAGCAGUGAGGAAUAUUGGUCAAUGGGCGAGAGCCUGAACCAGCCAAGUCGCGUGAAGGAUGAAGGUUUAUGAAUUGUAAACUUCUUUGCAGGGGAAUAAAGUGUCCGACGUGUCGGAUUUUGUAUGUACUCUGCGAAUAAGGAUCGGCUAACUCCGUGCCAGCAGCCG